AAACUAAUUAAAGUUAUGUUAAACUAAUACCACAAAUCCUAGCACAAUUAAUUAGCCCAUAUUAUAUAAAUGAUAAAAAAUAUAUAUAUUUCAUACAAUACAUUACAAAUAUGGCAAAAUAAUUGAGAAAAUGCAAAAUUAUAGACAAAACCCCUUUUGAAGCUUGGCUUCACCUUAGACGUAUUCUCCUUGCUCUAUGAUUUGUCCUCCAAAAUUACCAUUAAAAAAAAAUAAAAAAUAAAAAAUAAAAAAAAGAAGCGGAGGAGAAGACGGGCUGCUAGCAGAAGAAGCAGAAUUCAAUUUAAAACCCUAAGAAGAAAUUGCAGCUCAGAUCCUUGAAGUUUUGGAAAAGUCAUAAAACGGUCCCCAGGUCAUUUGUUAAUUAAAAUAUGACACCUAAUCGCCAAUCUCUGUCAAAAGCCCAAAAAAUUUGAUUUCAAUUUUGCAGCCAAGUCCGUUAGAUUAUUGCAUAAUUUGGUCCUCUGAUUUUAUUUUUAUAUCAAUUUGCCCUACAUGGAUUGUAGUUCAAAGUCUUCGACUUUUGUUGGAAGUGCGAAUUCAAGUGCUAGACAGAUUUGCUGGAAUUAAGGUACCUCUAUUGCUUUUAUCAUGGAAAAUUAGCUUUUCAGGAAGUUAUUUUUAUUUUAUAUAUAAAAUAUGUACAAAUUUGCGCUAUAAAAGCUGCGAGGUUUAGUAUCCAAAUGUUGUAAAAAGUUUAGCCAAAGCUUAGAUCUUUCCAUUUCAUAACCAUUUGCUUUGUAUAUAUAUGGUGUGGAGGUAAUUCUGAUGCUAUCUUUAUCAAUAUUUUUAUGUAGUACAAAAGGAAACUACGGCUGCUGAAAGGAAGAUUGCCUUUCACAACGUCAUGCACCAAGAAAAUUUUAAUAAUGGGAGGCACUCGAUUUAUUGGUGUAUUUU
rnacentral:lncRNA from 1 species